AUUGCCUCAGUAACGGCGAGUGAAGCGGCAACAGCUCAAAUUUGAAAUCUGGCAGCCUCCGGGCGGUCCGAGUUGUAAUUUGAAGAGGAUGCUUUUGGCGAGGCGCCUUCCGAGUGCCCUGGAACGGGACGCCACAGAGGGUGAGAGCCCCGUAUGGUUGGACGCCGAGCCUCUGUAAAGCUCCUUCGACGAGUCGAGUAGUUUGGGAAUGCUGCUCAAAAUGGGAGGUAAACCCCUUCUAAAGCUAAAUACUGGCCAGAGACCGAUAGCGCACAAGUAGAGUGAUCGAAAGAUGAAAAGCACUUUGAAAAGAGAGUUAAAUAGCACGUGAAAUUGUUGAAAGGGAAGCGCUUGCGACCAGACUUGUGCCCGUCGAAUCAGCCGCCGCUCGUCGGCGGCGCACUUCGGCGGGCUCAGGCCAGCAUCAGUUCGCUGCAGGGGGAGAAAGGCGGUGGGAAUGUGGCUCUUCGGAGUGUUAUAGCCCGCCGCGCAAUACCCCUCGGCGGACUGAGGACCGCGCAUCUGCAAGGAUGCU
rnacentral:rRNA from 1 species